rnacentral:rRNA from 1 species
UCUGUAGCUGCGUCUACAGGAGCUCGCUUCUCUUGAGAGCGGCGCACGGGUGACUAAUGCCUAGGAAUCUGCCUAGUGGUGGGGGAUACCCUUCGGAAACGGACGCUAAUACCGCAUACGUCCUACGGGAGAAAGCGGGGGAUCUUCGGACCUCGCGCCAUUAGAUGAGCCUAGGUCCGAUUACCUAGUUGGUGAGGUAAUGGCUCACCAAGGCGACGAUCCGUAACUGGUCUGAGAGGAUGAUCAGUCACACUGGAACUGAGACACGGUCCAGACUCCUACGGGAGGCAGCAGUGGGGAAUAUUGGACAAUGGGCGAAAGCCUGAUCCAGCCAUGCCGCGUGUGUGAAGAAGGUCUUCGGAUUGUAAAGCACUUUAAGUUGGGAGGAAGGGUUGUAGAUUAAUACUCUGCAAUUUUGACGUUACCGACAGAAUAAGCACCGGCUAACUUCGUGCCAGCAGCCGCGGUAAUACGAAGGGUGCAAGCGUUAAUCGGAAUUACUGGGCGUAAAGCGCGCGUAGGUGGUUCGUUAAGUUGGAUGUGAAAGCCCCGGGCUCAACCUGGGAACUGCAUCCAAAACUGGCGAGCUAAGUACGGUAGAGGGUAGUGGAAUUUCCUGUGUAGCGGUGAAAUGCGUAGAUAUAGGAAGGAACACCAGUGGCGAAGGCGACUACCUGGACUGAUACUGACACUGAGGUGCGAAAUCGUGGGGAGCAAACAGGAUUAGAUACCC